GCCUUCUUGGCUCAGUUGGCACAGCAUUCCUAAGUGGAAGGGGAAAGUCACCAGUUCAAAUCUGGUAGAAGGCA